UGAAUGUACUGUAAUAGGAGGGAUUUUUAAAAAUCUUUGAAUUAGUUUUUUUUUUUUUUUCUUUGAGUCAGGCUUGGUGCAAAAUUUCCUGACUCACGCAGUAUAUCUGAUGCCAUGUUAAUGGUAGCUUUUACCAGUGUAGCAUACUCUAGCCAGAGUAGUUUCUGCUUUUCUUGUUCCCCCCUGUGACUCUUGGGGACGAAGCUACCAGGCUUCUGCGUGCAGUUCUGGCCAUACAGAUUUCUGCUGUAAAAGAUUUCUAUGUUAUGACAAGGCCCCCGACGAAGGCCUGGGUGCUGAUCAGAGAAGUGCUUUGGAGACAAGGUCUCCAGCUUUUCAAUUGGGAAGCCAUCUCCGCCCUUUGUUUUCAUGAUUGUUCUGUGUUUGCAACAAUGAAAACUUGAGGACUUUUACAAGUCAUCUAGAGGUGUUCACAAAAUAUCAAAAUUCUAAGUGGCUACAGAGAAUCAAGUAUAGAGGUCCUUCAGAUCCUUGAUUACUCAUUUAUUUGGUGCCUUUUCAAUUUCUUGAUGUAGGCACCAAUUGUAAACAUUCCUCUUAACACCAUUUUUGCUGUAUCCUUAAGUUUUGAUAUGUUGUAUUGCUGCCUUCAUUAGUUUCAAGAAAAUUUUUUAUGCCAACGCCGCGGCUUAAUAGGCUAAUCCUCCACCUAGUGGCGCCGGCACACCGGGUUCUAGUCCCGGUCGGGGCGCAGGAUUCUGUCCCGAUUGCCCCUCUUCCAGGAGAGCUCUCUGCUGUGGCCCGGGAGUGCAGUGGAGGAUGGCCCAAGUCCUUGGGCCCUGCACCCCAUGGGAGACCAGGAUAAGUACCUGGCUCCUGCCAUCGGAUCAGCGCGGUGCGCCCGCCGCAGCGCACCAGCCAUGGUGGCCAUUGGAGGGUGAACCAAUGACAAAGGAAGACCUUUCUCUCUGUCUCUCUCUCUCACUAUCCACUCUGCCUGUCAAAAACAAACAAACAAACAAAAACUUUUUUAAUUUCUCUUUUGAUUUCUUCUAUGACUCAGGAGCAUGUUCAGUCUCCAUGUGUUUGCAUUUUUUCUUUUUUUUUGUUCCUUUUUGGAGGGUUGUCAUGAUGGCUUCCUUAUUCUUGUUUCUUGGAUUUCUGUAUUUAUUUUAGGCAUUUGUAGAGAUACUUGUUGGUUUUAUCCUCUGAUGGCAUUUAUCUUUGAAGUAUGCCACUGCAGCUUAUUGUUUUCCAUGAAUAUCCAGAAGUGUGUGCUGGAUAUGGCAAAGGAACUCUUGCCAGUGCUGCAAGGGAGGAAACAACAGUUCUAAAGCCAGAGGAGGUGGAUGUACCCCCACAGAAUGCCUUUAGAAGUGACUUCUCUCCAAAAGAGUAUUGUCUGGGGGUAUGCUGAGAACAUCAGGACUCUACAUAAUGGAAAAAGAAAAGAACUCUCUAAUGAACACUUACUAUGAGGAGUCUUCAGAAAGUUCAGAGAGAGUGGUUGUUAUGGGAUGGACAUUUGGCACAAAAGAAAUUAAAGUUGGCUGUGUAAUAUCUCCACGUACAUAAACUCCAGAAACUGCUCAUAAAAGAAAAGGAGUUUUUCAUCAUUUGGAAAGGUAUUUGCUUGAUGGGUUUGUAUUCAUCAAUAAACUAUACUUUGCUUCAAAAUAUGCAGACAGGUAGAGCUGCUUCUAGCAUCUCAGCAGGCUAUUGCAGAAGAUUCCAUUGCAGCUGACAAGAAAGUAGGGGAGAAAAUAUACACAACAGUACCCUCAUAAACUACACUGCCUUGAAAAGGGUUGUGAACCCUCAGCGCAUCUUCUCUCAGUUGACAAUUACAAAAUGGGGCUAAAAACAAUGCUCAUUUUUGCGGCAUCUUAUUUUAUGACUAAAAAAGACAAUGUUCACAAAACAUUUUUCAAGCCAGGUUGACGUGUGAUGAGUGAUUGCAAAACAUGUUUUGCUGCUAUUAUUUAUAUUAUUGCUGUUAUUACACAGAAACAUCUCUCAGGAAAAUUGAUUACUUUUUGUUUUAUAAUAAUUAGCAAAGAGUAACAUAGCAGCUAGUCCUAAGACAAUAGAGAUCUGAUAGAAGGAAAGUGUGAAAGAGAUGAAUAAAUUCUAUGUUGAAAAGGGUAAGCUGAAUACAUGCGUGAGAAAAUCCAAAGCAAGCCAUGGAAACGGAGCAAAAAGAUGUUGUCUUCAAUUUUUGAGGAUCAACAUGACCUGAGCUAUUUUGUCCUCCCUACCACACAAGUUGCAGUCAGAUUUACAGAGUAAGUUAUAUCAUCUAAUCUGAUAUUCUAACUGGUAGCCUAAUCUUUAUUUUUUCAUUUUAAUAAUUUUUAACAUUUUGCUUAUUUGAGAGAGAGAGAGAAUGAUGGAGAGAGCUCCCAUCAUCUAUUGGCCCACUUUCCAAAUGCCUGCAAAGGAGGGGACUGUGCCAGGACAAAGCUUGAAUUCAAGAAUGCAAUCUCUAUCUCUCACAUGGUUGGCAGGAACUCAAUUAUUUAAGCUGUAACUGCUGUCUUCCCAUUGUCUGCAGCAGCAGGAAGUCAAGUUCUGAAGAUAAGCAUCAAAUCCAAGCAGUUCUAUUAUAGCAUGUGAGCACCUUUACCAAUAGGUCAAAUGCCCCAAGUAACCUCAUCAUAAAAAAUAAAAACCAUAAGAACAUAGACAAAUUAUGCCAAAUAUCCAUAGUGAUGAAACGGUAUUUGUGGAGUGAGUAUUGGGCUUAGAAGUUAAGUCACCAGUCAGGAUACUCGCCUCCCGCAUCGGAGUAUCUGGGUUUUGGUACCAAGCUCCUGUUCCUCACUCCAAUUUCUUGCUAACUCAUGCUCUGGAAGGCAACAGCACUGGCUCAAGUGACUGGGCUCUGACUGACUGUAGGGGAGACCUGAAAUGACUUCCCUGACCAUAGUGGCUUUAGCCAUGGCCCAGGCACAUCUGUGGUAGACAUUUGGAAAGUGAAAAAGAUCAUAGAGUUCCUUCUUUCUGCCUGUCUGUCUGUCUGCCUCCCAAAUAAAUCACUAAUUUACAAAAAAAUGGUAUUUGCAAUACAACCGAAAGUGAGUUAUUCAAGAGUACAUUUUCUGUUAAGGGGCAACAGCAUUAGGAUUUUCAGCCAGGAUCCUUGGGAUGCUCAACUACAGAAGUGGCAACACCGAAAUGAGGCCAUCUCUUCCCGAGACAAUUCUGGGUUUCAUUUUCUGAUUUUUGUGGAGGAAACUGUAUACCUCAAAGCCAUCCGUGAACAGGGUUUACAUUUGUGUUCAUAAAAAAAAAAAAAAAAAACCUGAGCAAACCUUUCUCUGUC